rnacentral:rRNA from 1 species
GACGAACGCUGGCGGCGUGCCUAAUACAUGCAAGUCGAGCGAAGAAGCGUGGAACUUGUACCCAUGAGAUGAGCAGCGAACGGGUGAGUAACGCGUGGGGAAUCUGCCUCUUAGAGGGGGACAACAUCGGGAAACGAAUGCUAAUACCGCAUAAUACCUUUAAACACAAGUUUCAAGGGUGAAAGAUGCAUUUGCUGCACUCAAAGAUUAUCCCGCGUUGGAUUAGCUGGUUGGUGAGGUAAAGGCUCACCAAAGCGAUGUUACAUAGCCGACCCGAGAGGGUGGUCAGCCCCAUUGGGACUGAGACACGGCCCAAACCCCUUCGGGAGGCCGCAGUAGGGAAUCUUCGGCAAUUGACGGAAGUCUGACCGAGCAACGCCGCGUGAGGGAAGAAGGUUUUCGGAUCGUAAAACUCUGUUGGUAGAGAAGAACGUUGGUGAGAGUGGAAAGCUCAUCAAGUGACGGUAACUACACAGAAAGCGACGGCUAACUACGUG